UAUUAAUGUUUCAUCAGCCUUCGUUCCCCAGUCUGCAAAAUUGCAUGACUCUUGUACUUAUCUUCUAGCAUUUUCUGGCAGCCGAGAUUGAGGAUGCAUGCUCAAUUCUUGAGUUAGUUUUCCUUCUAAGAAUUCUUAGUUUUCAUCAAUUCUUGUUUCCAAAUUUAAUUCUUUAAACGCCGCCUUAAUUCUUUGAACACUCUCUUAUGCCCUUCUCUAAAUCUCUCUCCUCGGUGGCACACUUUAUUACCAAUCUAGCGUAAUAAAUAAACAUCAACAAAGAUGGUUUUGUAGUAGUGGUAGCUACUUUUUUUAGAUCCAUGUGCCAUUCUUUCAGUCAUUUGUUUAGUGGCUAGCUGAUAUGUGGUAUGUUGUGAAAACUGCGCACCACAUAUAUGCAAAAUAGUUAUAAAGUGAAGAGUACUACACCACCAACUUCUAAAUGUGUGCACAAUGCUUUUCUUACAUAUAUACCACACCAACCUUCACUCAAGGGAAAAAGGUUCUGUCAUGAUAUAUACCAAUUCGUCUGCAACAGAAUAGCUCUGCUCUCACAUGCCAUUUCAGCGAGUUGGUUGCACUAACUUACUGCAUCAAAAAGGUGCUAGGCACAUAACUAGAUCAGAGGGGUAGUGUUGGUAGAACUAACUUACCGCAUCAAAUAGGUGGUAGCCUUAUAAACAGAUCAAAGGGAGGGCCUUGGUAGGUCUAACUUACUGCAUCAAAUAGGUGGUAGUAAAAUAAAUGGAUCAAAGAGAGCGUGAGAGAAGAAUGAGAGAUGCAAGAAUAGAUGGAAAUAGGAGACAUCAGAAACAUUUGCACGUUCUGGGUGACUUAGGACCAGAGUGACCAGGUUGAUCUUGAUCAGUGGGAGAUGUAGAAGCUUCCUUUCUAUUGAUUGGCCUUUUAUUACGGUUCAUCUGGCCGGUUCUUUGGGUACCUUCACUUCAGCACGAUUCACCCACGUGGUAAAAUCAUUUGAGAGGCCAAUCCUGUGCUGCCACUAGCCAUCUGAUAGGUAUUGCUCUUAGUUGUUGGAUGGUGUUCUGGACUACGCCCAAGUAGCCAGCAGUGACAACUCUGAAAAGACACCGACAGUCCAUCUGUCAGCGACCUUCAUGCUCUAUGGCUUGACUGGUCAUUUGGCCCACCUCACUGCUGCUCCCCGCACAUCCCGCAGGUGCUCCGAUCGGUGUCAGCGACAACUCUGAAAAGACAUCACUCACAUAGGCGCAGGAGCUUCAGCUGUGCAGGACAUCGAUUUGCCCAUUGUGCCGCCUGAUGAAGCCAUGUACCUAGGGUAGGGGCACGGACCUGUUCAAGGAGCCUUAUCCUAGGAUAUCCCUAGGAGAAGUCACCUUUCAAUCGACUUGAAGGUAUUCCACUCGACGGAUUCAAGACACUCGACCAGAAAGCUAUCACUCGACCAUGAAGCCAACCACUCGAUCGCCAGGAGACCUAUAGUCAUCCCGCAGGCAAACGGUCAGCUGUUAAGUAGUCUUUAUGGUCAUUAUAGCGCUCUAUUAGGGGCGUUACCAGUAACGCCCAACCUUAAAUGUACCUUAAACCCUGCAUUACUGAGGGCAGGAGGGGGCCGGCGAACUCUAUAUAAGCCACCCCCUCCUCAGUAUGAAGGGUUCGCAUCCCUGUUAUUCACACGCCAGUAAUCCAGUCGACCGCCUCCGGGCAUCGAGACGUAGGGCUGUUACUUCCUCCGCGAAGGGCCUGAACUCGUACAUCUUGGUGUGUUUACAACUUCCCAAUACCUGAGAUCUAGUCUCUCCAUACAUACCCCCCUACAUCACUGUCAGAGUUAGAACUACGACAGUUGGCGCCCACCUUGGGGCAGGAAUCUUAGCGCCUGAUUGGAGAAGUUGCGAUUUGUCCGAUCCCUUUGAUCAUGGUUUCAUGCGGAGUUUUAGUGGAGGGCCGCGAGAUCCGCCUCGGCGCGCUCACGUUCAUCACCGACGACUCCGCCUGGCUUCAGGAGGCGCCACUCGACAUCGACGCGCUCCCCGUCCGCGAUGCGACGCAUUUCCGCGCAUGCGUUCGUGGCGUCCUCCUGCGGCAGCCGUCGGCCCAGUAUCGGUCGGCCCCCGUAUCGUCUCCCCACUCUGUCUCCCACCGGCGCAAGCGCUCCGGUCGGUCGAGACUUCAGAGGUGGGUGAGGCAUGCCGUGGCUCGCCAGUCGGCCGCCCCGCAAGUCGCGGCGAAUCCCUCUGCGGCCUGUUCGACCUGUCGACUGGUUCCGCGGAGACCGCAUCCGAGUGCGACAGCAGCGACCCAACGGCUGAGAUCCUGGCGGUCGAUGGAACGCACAGUCCUCCCAGUUUCCCUCGCGCUGAUGGAGGCGCGGGUGGGGGCGACCCGUCGCAUCCCCAUGAUGAGUAUCUCCCCGAACCUCUCACGUCAUUACAGCGAGAGGAGCUUCGCCGCCGGAACACGGACGCACUCCACACUCCUAUCGUCGGAGAGACACCCGAGGCCCGGGCCUUGGAGGACGCGCGCUUGGCUAACUUGGCCGAGCGCACUCGACUGGAGAAUCUCCAGCGAGCACUCGACGAGCAAGCACGUCAGCGGGCUCCCGAGUCUAGUCGACGUCAGCUCUUCCCGCCGACGCAGGUAUACCGAACCCCAGUUCAGAAUUUGGCCGCCGCGGCCUGUAUAGCAGAAUCGAUUCAGCCCUCCCAGUCGGAGGCUGGCAGGGGCUUGUUGCAGAUUAGAGCGUUGCUCCGGGCGGCGGGAAACCAGAAUUCCACUGUUUCUCAGUCGCGGAAUAGAAUCCAUAGUCGAUCCGUUGCAACAGAUACAGUCCAGUCGGCUCACAGCCCGCGGUCGCCCCCGAGGCGUAAGGGACGUGGCGACCGGCAUGAUCAGUACAGAAGGAAUGAGCAGUAUGAUCACCGAUCCGAUCGUGAUGAUCGACGUCGAGUGCCAACCCCUCCCCCGAGGAGCGGGUCAUGUGCGCCUCGACAUCGAGAUGACAGGCGCCCUCAUAGCGUUGGGCAGAGGAUUCCCGUCGACCCCAGGGACCCAGGCUUUGACGCCAGAUCUGUCCUCGUUCAAGGCUUGGUUGACAGGAACAGGGCUCAUCGGGAAGGCCAGAACAGAGAUGCGCCCGCCAGCAGCAGAAUACGUGUUUCAGGGCCAGAGUGUUUCAGUUGAGCCAUUAGGGCCGCGGUGAUUCCUCCCAACUUUCGGUUGGCAACUGGAGUCAGCAAGUUCACCGGUGAGUCUUAGCCUGACACUUGGCUCGAAGAUUACCGAGUGGCUGUACAGAUUGGCAGUGGCAAUGAUAGGUGGCUAUGAAGCAUUUGCCUCUCCUGUUAGAGGGCUCGGCCAGAGCGUGGCUGAAUCAGUUAGCACCCAGCAGCAUCUACACUUGGAAGGAUCUCUCUCGAGUGUUUGUCACAACCUUUGAGGGAACAUGCAAGCGACCCGCAGGCCUUACAGAAUUGCGGUCUUGCGUGCAGAAGCCGAGUGAAACUCUGAGGGAUUACAUCCAGAGGUGGAUCACUUUGCAUCACACAGUUGAGAACGUACCGGAUCACCAAGCAGUUUGUGCCUUUAAAGAAGGCGUCAAGAACAGGGAGUUGAACCUGAAGUUCGGUCGGAUCGGAGAAAUGUCCCUGAAUCGGAUGAUGAAAAUUGUCACCAAAUAUGCUAAAGGAGAAGAUGAAGAUCGACUCCGGAGUGGCAAGCAGAAAGCAGUCGCCCAGGAAACCGGAGGCAAUUCCAGUCGAAAGCAGAAGCGGAAGGCCGAGCCGGCCGCCCCUGGGGAGGCCCUGGCCGCAACCCAGGGAAAUUUCAAGGGAAAACCCAAAGGCCCCUGGAAGCCCAAGAAAGUCAAGGAUCAAGAUGGAAAUGAUGUUUUGGAUCUGCCAUGUCACAUCCACACCAAGAAAGAUGAGGAGGGUAAUUUUAUUUACCCAAAGCAUACCACUCGACAGUGUCGGCUCCUGAUCCAGCAGUUUCAGGGCAAACAGUCCAAAGAUAAGGAAAAAGAGUCGGACAGAGUUGAGGACAACGAAGACAGUGACGAUGGAUACCCCCAAAUCAAUUCCACCCUGAUGAUUUUUGCUGAUGUCGAAAGCAAAAGUUGACUGAAAGUCAUUAACCGUGAGGUGAAUAUGGUUGCUCCGACGACACCCAGUUAUCUGAAGUGGUCUCAGACUGCCAUCACAUUCGACCAGUCCGAUCACCCUACGCACAUUGCCACCCCUGGGAGGCAAGCUUUGGUGGUCGACCCAGUUGUCGAAGACACUCGACUGACCAAAGUACUGAUGGAUGGUGGCAGUGGCCUGAACAUAUUGUAUGCUGAAAUAUUGAAAGGGAUGGGUAUUCCGAUGUCCAGGCUCAGUGCCAGCAACAUGAGCUUCCAUGGAGUCAUUCCUGGAAAGAAAGUCGAGUCACUCGGCCAGAUUGCUCUCGACGUGGUUUUCGGUGAUUCAAAGAAUUACCGUAGGGAAAAGUUGACAUUUGAGGUUGUGGACUUCCAAAGUGCUUAUCAUGCUAUUCUGGGCCGGCCAGCUUAUGCACGCUUCAUGGCUCGACCAUGUUACGUGUAUCUCAAGUUGAAGAUGCCUGGCCCCCGAGGUGUGAUCACCGUUACCGGCAAUCGGAGGAAAGCAGAAGAGUGUUUUCAGAAAGGAUCGAAGAUUGCUGACGCUCAGAUGGCAGUUGUUGAGCUACAAGAGUACCAGAAGACUGCUGAUCCGAGUGAAAUGCUACGAGCCAAGAAGCCUACUUCAGAAUCUUCUUUUUAGUCGUCCGGUGAAACUAAGCUAGUGCACAUUCACCCGACCGACCCCGACGCUGCUUCGACUCACAUCUCGACGACGCUCGACUCCAAAUAGGAAGAAGCGCUCAUCCAGUUCCUCCGUGAGAACUGGGACGUCUUCGCAUGGAAGCCUUCUGACAUGCCUGGAGUUUCCAGGGGGCUGGCUAAGCACCGUCUACGAGUCGACCCGAAGUCCAAGCCCGUGAAAGAACAUCUUGGACGGUCCGCCGUUGUAGGAUCGUAAGUAUGUCUAGAGGGGGGUGAUUAGACUACUUGACCAAAUAAAAACUUAACCUUUUCCCAGUUUUAGUUCUUGGCAGAUUUUAGCUAUUUUAGGACAAGUCAAGCAAUCAUCACAUAAUUCAAGCAAGCAUGCAAAGAGUAUAUUGGCAGCGGAAAGUAAAGCAUGCAACUUGCAAGAAUGUAAAGGGAAGGGUUUGGAGAAUUCAAACGCAAUUGGAGACACGGAUGUUUUUCCCGUGGUUCGGAUAGGUGGUGCUAUCCUACAUCCACGUUGAUGGAGACUUCAACCCAUAAAGGGUAACGGUUGCGAGAGUCCACACAGGGCUCCACCCACAAAGGGUAAUGGUUGCGCGAGUCCACACAGGGCUCCACCCACGAAGGGUCCAUGAAGAAGCAAUCACCCACAAAGGGUCCACGAAGAAGCAACCUUGUCUAUCCCAUCAUGGCCAUCGCCCACACAGGACUUGCCUCACUAGCGGUAGAUCUUCACGAAGUAGGCGAUCUCCUUACCCUUACAAACUCCUUAGUUCAACUCCACAAUCUUGUCGGAGGCUCCCAAGUGACACCUGGCCAAUCUAGGAGACACCACUCUCCAAGAAGUAACAAAUGGUGUGUAGGUAAUGAACUCCUUGCUCUUGUGCUUCAAACGAUAGUCUUCCCAACACUUAACUCUCUCUCAUAGGAUUUGGAUUUGGUGGAAAGAAGAUUUAAGUGGAAAGCAACUUGGGAAGGCUAGAGAUCAAGAUUCAUAUGGUAGGAAUGGAAUAUCUUGGUCUCAACACAUGAGUAGGUGGUUCUCUCUCAGAACAUACGAGUUGGAAUGGUGUAUGUGUUCUGAUGGCUCUCUCUUCCAAUGAAGAGGAGGUGGAGGGGUAUAUAUAGCCUCCACACAAAAUCCAACCGUUACACACAGUUUUCCAAUCUCGGUGGGACCGAAUCAACAAACUCGGUCGGACCGAAAAUGUAAACCUAGUGACCGUUAGAGAUUUUCGGUGGGACUGACAUGCAACUCGGUAGGACCGAUAUGGUUAGGGUUUGGGCAUAACGUAAUCUCGGUGAGACCGAUUACACAAACUCGGUGAGACCGAAUUUGGUAAUUAGCUAACCAGAGAGUUGGUCAGGUAAACUCGGUGGGACCAAUUUGCUCUUUUGAUGAGACCGAAAAGUUAUAAAGGGGAAACACUGAAUUUACAUUGGAAUCUCGGUGGGACCGAUUCGCUCUUCCGGUGAGACCGAAAAGUUACGAAAGGGAAACAGAGAGUUUGCAAUCCCAUCUCGGUGAGACCGAGAUCCCUAUCGGUAGAACCGAAUUGCUAGGGUUUGGCAGUGGCUAAUGACAAGUGAAACUCGGUGGCGCCGGAUAGGAAGAAUCGAUAGGACCGAGUUUGGCUUAGGGUUUAGGUCAUAUGUGGAUAUGGGAAAGUAGUUGAGGGUUUUUGGAGCAUAUCACUAAGCACAUGAAGCAAGAGGCUCAUUAAGCAACACCUCAUCCCUCCUUGAUAGUAUUGGCUUUUCCUAAAGAUUCAAUGUGAUCUUGGAUCACUAAAAUAUAAAAUGAAGAGUCUUGAGCUUUUGAGCUUGAGCAAAUCCUUUUUCCUUAGCAUUUUGAGGGUUUCACUUUCACAUCCAUACCAUGCCAAUCAUUGAGCUUUCCUGAAAUAAUCAUCUUGAAAUAGCAUUAGCUCAAUGAGCUAUAUAUUGUUAUGAAUUACCAAAACCACCUAGGGAUAGUUGCACUUUCAAUCUCCCCCUUUUUGGUAAUUGAUGACAACAUAUAGAUCAAAGCUUCGACAAAUGAUAAUAAGCAUGAAAUAUAUCGUCGCUUUGAGAAGUAUGUGAUAAGUAAGAGCUCCCCCUAAAUUUGUGCAUAUUUAAAAUUUGCUUUGGACUGCAAAUGCACAAGGAGUUAGAGUCAUGGGUUACUCUUUCAUGUCACAUACAUCUUGGUGGAGCGCUUAAAAUGAUAAGAAUGAAAUACAUGCACUCAUCACCAAGAAUAGUGACGUAGAUAAGAUAAUAACAUUAAGCAAGCAUUAAGUGUAGCUUAUGAUUAAACAUAUGAUCAUCAAUGUCUCACAAAUAAUGAUGUAGUAUCUCAAGCACUCAAAAGCAAACAAGUUUGAAAAACCACCAAAUAAAGCAAGAGAGAAAAGCAACACUCUCUCUCUCAAAGCCUAUGAUCUAUACAUUUUUCUCCCCCUUUGGCAACAAGUUACCAAAAAGUUCCUAGAAAAUGCAUAGUACUAGAUCGACGCUCAGGCUUGAUCUUCUGGUGAUGGUGGAGUCCGGAUCACUCCAAGGACGAAGGCUUCUGUAGACGCUGAAGUAGACGCUGGAGUUGGAGCUGAAGUAGAUGCUGGAACUGGUGAAACUGAGGCUGUAGCUGGUGCUGAGGUGGUGGCUCUUGUGUCAGCAACUGGCACGGCAGACGACCUUGGACCUCGUGGCACUCUGGCAAAGGCAUGAGUGGUAGUCCUGCCUCUCCUCUCCUGCAUAUCAUCUUGGAGCUGCUCCACUGCAGUCUGAAUCUUCGUUACCUUGACAUCCAAGUCAUAGAACUUUUUUUCCAUGAUUCUCUCUAGGCUUGCCUGGUUUUGAGUUAGGGUGGCUAGUCCUUGCUCAAUCCGCAGGGUGGAUGCAAUCAGGUAACCAAGCUGCUCUUGUUUGGUCUUCAAGAAAUACUCAGAUGCCUCCUCUUGAGUUGGCAUCUUGGCAGCUUUCUCCUUCUUUGCCUUUUCCUUCUUUGCGUAUGCUUGGGCAGAUGAUGGCUCGUUCUCAGUCAUGACAACUUGAUUGUCCUCAAAAUCUAGACGGAUGGGCAGGUGUUCCUUGUCCAAUAAAUAUAUGCCCGUGCCUAUCUUGGAGUUAAUGAGCUCCUGGAUCUGAGGGGCAUAUCCGCAACUCCUCUUUUGAUCUGCUGCAGUCCUUUUGAUAGUUUCCACUAUGAGGCUCAUCACCUUGAACUUCUGAGGCACAUCAAAUACAUGUAGCAAGUUGAUAGCAUGGCCUCUGAUCAUCUUGUGAUCUCCAGACUUGGGCAAUAAGGUGUGCCUCAAGAUCCAAUUGAUAGUUGGCAGCCCUGACAGAAGGUAAUGCACAUACCCAAAUUUGAAGGUGUCAAGAACUUCAUUGGGAAUUUCCUUGUACAUAUCGAACAUAGAGUUAUGGUCCAUCUUCUUCUUGGCAUAUAUGUCCAAGUCAUCAUCAUGCUCCUCUGGGGCAUUAAUGAUCUGUGCCCACUCAGCAACUGUGGAUUGGUACCUUGUACCCUCAGACAUCCAUGUGAUCCUCCCAUCUGAAUAAAAAUGUGUUGUGGAGUAGAACUGCAUUAUAAGCUCCUCAUUCCACUUUGUGAGCUUCUGCCCAACAAAGUCAGCUACUCCACAAGCUAUGAAGCUGUCUUGCACUCCAGGAUAGUGCUCCUCAUUGUCCUUGAUGUACUGCCAGUCAACCCAUCUCAUAUCACAGACUAUUGGCUUCUUAUCAAGCAGCACUGUCUCAUAGAAGUCCUGCUGUUCCUUAGUGUGGAACCUGUAGUCAACAACAGUCCUCCUCCUUGAAGCAUACGGGUCUGCUUCUCUCCACUUCCUCAGCCCUGAAUCUCUCCUGAGUUUCAUGUCCUCAGCCACAGGAUGCGCAUUGUUGUGGUCUGGGAUAUUGGGCUUGAGCUUUCUCAGAACUUGCUCUUCAUCCUCUUCUUCAGCAACAGUCUCAGGCACUGGGGCCUUGUUCUUUUCAGCUGCAGGAAUGCUCCUUGUAUUCCUCUUUGGUUUUGGCUUGGAGGCAGCUUUGGGCUUAGAUGCAGUAGCCCCUGAUCUUAUGGCAUCACCCAUCAGCUUGGGUGCCUUGGGUGCUGGUGUAGCUACCUCUUCUUCCUCUUCCUCUUCCAUGAUGGAAGCCUUUCCUAGUACUCUGGCUACGGUCUUUUUGAUCCUUUCCUUUCUUUUCUUUCCCUCAGCAGCAACCGACUCUUUGGGUGCAGGCUUCUCAGUUGAAGCUCUUGUCUUUGACAUGGGCUGCCUGCCUGCUGGCCUUUUGAUUUUCAGUCCUGGCUUUGUGCCUUGAGCUGGCUCAACUCUCUUUGAUGUGGUCUCUUCCUCUGCCACAUAAUCUUCAUCUUCUGAAUCAGAAGUUCUCUUCUUCCUCUGUCUGGUGGCAGCUUUUGGCAAGUUGCUAGGGGUGCUCCUGCUGCCCUCAUCUGAAGAGCUGGAGGGACUAGUGCCCUCACUCAUGUGCACCUGCUGCUCUGACAUGUUCUGGCUGUCACUUUGAUUAGACAUGCUGCAAGCUCUGACUGCUGACCCUGUGAACAGUUUAUAGAUGAGGUAGAAAAUAUGAGCAUCACAAAAUGCAGAGAUUUUUGCAAAAGAAUGAUCCAAAAACUUAGUUUUAGUUUCCCACUGAAAUCAUCUCAGAUCUAUCGAUUUUCAAACUCGGUGAUACCGAAGCAGUUUUGGAACCUAAACUAGUGAACUUGGUAGGACCGAGUCACAGUUCGGUGGCACCGAGACGCUAGGGUUUUACAGAGUUCCAAAAUCGGUCACACCGAUAAGUAAUUCUCGGUCAGACGGAGUCUCACUUGUUUCGGCGGAAACCUAACCCUAAAAUUUUCGAAUCAAAGCUAAUCUACAGGCGUAUUGACUGGAUAGGAGUGUUUCAAUCGUGGCAAGAAUCAUGAAGAACACAAUGUGCUAGGAAUCGGAUGGGGAAUAGCACUAUGAUCGAGUCCAUACCCUAGUUCGGCGGAGACUCGCUACGGCGGCAACGGCGGGGCAGAAUUCCCGUUGACGGCGACGGAGACCAGCGACUGGAGGCGGCUGGCGGCGAGAAGAUGAUCCGGAGACCACGUUGGCAGAGCAGGCUAUCGCGCGGGCGAAGGGGUUCGAAGAAAUUUCCAAAUUUUUCCCGUGACUAUAUAUAGCCCGACCCUGUCGGUGUGACCGAGUGGAACAACUCGGUGGCACCGAGAUUCAUAACUGCAUGCAGUUACUGAAACUCGGUGUGACCGAAAUGUUCAAAUCGGUUGCAUCGAGAUCGAAAACCUAGAUCAACUUAAUGAUCUCGGUAGGACCGAAAGUGGGGUAUCGGUCAGACCGAGAAUCAUAAAGAGGUUUUGAAAGUUUAAGUCUAUGACGAAUCGGGGACUCCGAGCGCUCCUCACACAGAGUGGUUCGAAUCUGACUUGAUCAAAUUUUGUGAUGCAGCAUGAAUAGAGUUUGAGACGAGAAAAGCAUAGAUAGCUAGAGGAGGUACUUAGGCAUUCUUGUCCAUCCACUUGGCAAAAGAAAAUAAAACCAAACAAUCAAAACAACAAGUGGAUGUCCUCGAAUGAGCAAAAUAUGCAAUCAGCAUGCUCACACAAUAAGAUGGUAAAUGAAAUAUGUGGCAAGGCAUGCACAACCAAUUUUAGCAUCUAUCAAGCAAUUUGCGAUGACAAGGUCAUCUAUAUAUGAGUAUAUUGACUUAGGAGUCAAGUGAGAGCACUUGAUCAUAGGUCAUACUCAUCGUUUAAGCUCAAGUGGGGUUACCACUUUUACAUAAAGCAUUGUUGUGUUCACAUCUUUAGAGUUGCUUUAGCUCAAGUCUUAGAGUAAAGCUCCCCCUAGAUGUGAUAUCCCCCUAAGAGGGAUGAACUAACCUUGGGUUUUGUCGAUGAUGACUUCAUGUAGAUGUUGAAGAUGUGGAUGCUCAAUGUUGAUGUAGAUCACUUGGAGCUAUCCAUUUGAGUGAAUUGCACUUUCAAUACCUACAUGGGUUAGUCCCACAAGGAACAAACAAGGAUACCCAUAGACAUAGAGUGAUGUAUACAAAAGAUGAUGUCCAUGAAAACUUUUAGGUUACCUUGUCCCUUGUCUUACCAACAAGAGGGUUUGUGACUCCUUGAACCAGUGCAAGAUGUGGAAGUUAAUUGCACUUGUUCUUGCCAAAAUGAUAAGAGUGAAGUAUGUAGGCGGAGUCACCCUCAAGAACUCUCUAGUUCUUCUUCUUUUGGAUCCACAUCAUCUUGAUGGGAAUCCUUGGAGUUGUAUUCGUACUUGAUGAAGUGGAACUUGAAGUAGUCUUGGGAAUCCACUUGACUAAGGUCUUAGGAGCUUCUUCAAAUGCGUCCAUUUCCUCUUGAAGCUUGUCCUUGCCUUUUUGCUUGUAGUCUUGUGGUGAAAGAUCAUCUUGAGCUUGUGUCCCCUUGAAAGAAGUAUACUUCUCUUGUUGAGGAACAAACUUUGUCUUGGGGUAUUGAUCUUCUUCCCACUCAACUCCAUUGGCAUUGAACUUUCGUUCAAAACCAACACCUUGAUUUUUCCGGUGCAUUCCUUGCUUGCGCACAAUUUGCUCGAAUUGCUUACUCCCGGCAAGGCUUUUGUACACUCCUUUCUCUAUAAUUCCCUUCAAUAAACUAUUUUCUUGCUCAAGUGUAACUUGGCUAAGAGAAUCAUUAGUGGAAUCAAGAGAACUACUAGAAGCAACAAUAUUGGAUUUAGCAUGACCAUUGUUACUGCUAGAGGAAGAAUCUUUCUUGUUCUUGUUACUAGACUUGACUUGAGGCAUGUAAGUGGAUAAGAGUAAAUGCUUGGCAAUGUAAGAAGAGCUUUUCUUGCGGAGAUCAUCAUUGAUUGCUUUUAAGAACUCAUGCUCUUGCUCAAGAUUGAGCUUUUCAAAGCGUAAUUUCUCAUGAGCUCUUAAAAGUUCUCGAUGAUCUUCGAAGAUAGUUUCAUAAGCUAACUUAAGAGUAUUUAGUUCUUUAGUUAGAGCCUCAAUCUUCUCCUUAUCAUUGUCAUUCGUUUUAUCUUGAUUAGCAUGUUUAAUUGACGUUUCAUCAUAGUAUUCAUCACUAGAGUUGUCAACAAGCAAAUCAUCACCUAACAAGUCAUCUUCAUCACUAUUGAAAUCAACAUACUCGAGAUGUGUUACCUUAGGACCUUUGGCCAUGAAGCAUCUUCCAAUUCCUUCAUUUGGUGAGUCAAAUAUGUCGUAGGAGUUGGUUGACACAAGUGCUAGACCGGCAACACCUUCAUCUUGAGUAUCUUCGGAGUCGGAGUGAUAACUUCUCUCGGAGUGGCUGUCGGAGUCGGAGCAGGAUACCCAUUCACCAACAUGAGCUUGAUGUCUUCGUUUUGUGUAGCUCCUUGAUGAUUUUUCCUUCCUUUCCGAAUCCUUGCUUCUCCGUGAGUAUCUUCGUUCAUAACGAUCAUCUCUACUCCUCCUCUCUCUUGGUGGUGAUUCUUUGCUUCUUCUUUUUGGAGAAUCUUCUCUUCUCUUGUAGGGAGCCGUACACUCAUUGGAAUAGUGUCCGGGUCUUCCACAACUGUAGCAGUUUCGCUCUCGACUAGAAGAUCUUUUGUCAUUGUAGGACCUUGACUUGAAGCUUCUAUCUUUGUUUCUACUCUUGUAGAACUUGUUGAAGUUCUUCACCAUUAAGCUCAAUUCUUCAUUGAAGUCUUGUUUCCCACUUGAUGAUGUAGGGGCUUCACAUGAGGCUUUAUAGGCACCACUUGAUUUGUUGUGAAGUUCCUCUUUAUCCUUAAGUGACAUCUCAUGAGCAACAAUUCUUCCAAUCACCUCCGUUGGCUUGAGAUCUUUGUAAUUGGGCAUCAUUUGGAUCAAUGUGCAGACGGUAUCAUAUUUUCCAUCCAAGGCUCUUAGAAUCUUCUUGAUGAUGAAUCUGUCGGUCAUCUCUUCACUUCCUAAGCCGGCAAUCUCAUUUGUGAUGAGAGCAAGCCUAGAGUACAUUUCAGCGACACCUUCACCAUCCUUCAUCUUGAACUUGUCAAGUUGGCUUUGAAGCACAUCCAACUUGGAUUCCUUGACGGAGUUGGUACCUUCGUGCAUAUCAAUCAAAGUGUCCCAAAUUUCCUUCGCAUUCUCAAGACGGCUGAUUUUGUUGAAUUCUUCGGGGCACAAUCCGUUGAAGAGAAUAUCACAAGCUUGAGCAUUGUAUUGCAACAUCUUCAACUCAUUCGCGGUAGCUUCACGGUUUGGUUCUCUCCCAUCAAAGAAGUCACCUUGCAAACCAACACACACAAUAGCCCAAACGGCGGGGUUAUGUCCAAGAAUAUGCAUUUUCAUUUUAUGCUUCCAACUAGCAAAAUUAGUACCAUCAAAGUAAGGACCUCUACGGUGAUAAUUUCCCUUGCUAGACGCCAUACUCUCUUAGGUUGUGAAACCAAGGCUAUGACCAUCAAAGCUAUGGAGAUCAAAGCAAAUGGAGACCAAAGCUCUGAUACCACUUGUAGGAUCGAAAGUAUGUCCAGAGGGGGGGUGAUUAGACUACUUGACCAAAUAAAAACUCAACCUUUUCCCAAUUUUAGUUCUUGGCAGAUUUUAGCUAUUUUAGGACAAGUCAAGCAAUCAUCACAUAAUUCAAGCAAGCAUGCAAAGAGUAUAUUGGCAGCGGAAAGUAAAGCAUGCAACUUGCAAGAAUGUAAAGGGAAGGGUUUGGAGAAUUCAAACGCAAUUGGAGACACGGAUGUUUUUCCCGUGGUUUGGAUAGGUGGUGCUAUCCUACAUCCACGUUGAUGGAGACUUCAACCCACAAAGGGUAACGGUUGCGAGAGUCCACACAGGGCUCCACCCACAAAGGGUAAUGGUUGCGCGAGUCCACACAGGGCUCCACCCACGAAGGGUCCACGAAGAAGCAACCACCCACAAAGGGUCCACGAAGAAGCAACUUUGUCUAUCCCACCAUGGCCAUCGCCCACACAGGACUUGCCUCACUAGCGGUAGAUCUUCAUGAAGUAGGCGAUCUUCUUGCCCUUACAAACUCCUUGGUUCAACUCCACAAUCUUGUCGGAGGCUCCCAAGUGACACCUAGCCAAUCUAGGAGACACCACUCUCCAAGAAGUAACAAAUGGUGUGUAGGUAAUGAACUCCUUGCUCUUGUGCUUCAAACGAUAGUCUCCCCAACACUCAACUCUCUCUCAUAGGAUUUGGAUUUGGUGGAAAGAAGAUUUGAGUGGAAAGCAACUUGGGAAGGCUAGAGAUCAAGAUUCAUAUGGUAGGAAUGGAAUAUCUUGGUCUCAACACAUGAGUAGGUGGUUCUCUCUCAGAACAUACGAGUUGGAAUGGUGUAUGUGUUCUAAUGGCUCUCUCUUCGAAUGAAGAGGAGGUGGAGGGGUAUAUAUAGCCUCCACACAAAAUCCAACCGUUACACACAGUUUUCCAAUCUCGGUGGGACCGAAUCAACAAACUCGGUCGGACCGAAAAUGUAAACCUAGUGACCGUUAGAGAUUUUCGGUGGGACUGACAUGCAACUCGGUAGGACCGAUAUGGUUAGGGUUUGGGCAUAACGUAAUCUCGGUGAGACCGAUUACACAAACUCGGUGAGACCGAAUUUGGUAAUUAGCUAACCAGAGAGUUGGUCAGGUAAACUCGGUGGGACCGAUUUGCUCUUUCGGUGAGACCGAAAAGUUACAAAGGGGAAACACUGAAUUUACAUUGCAAUCUCGGUGGGACCGAUUCGCUCUUUCGGUGAGACCAAAAAGUUACGAAAGGGAAACAGAGAGUUUGCAAUCCCAUCUCGGUGCGACCGAGAUCCCUAUCGGUAGAACCGAAUUGCUAGGGUUUGGCAGUGGCUAAUGACAAGUGAAACUCGGUGGCGCCGGAUAAGAAGAAUCGAUAGGACCGAGUUUGGCUUAGGGUUUAGGUCAUAUGUGGAUAUGGGAAAGUAGUUAAGGGUUUUUUGGAGCAUAUCACUAAGCACAUGAAGCAAGAGGCUCAUUAAGCAACACCUCAUCCCUCCUUGAUAGUAUUGGCUUUUCCUAAAGACUCAAUGUGAUCUUGGAUCACUAAAAUAUAAAAUGAAGAGUCUUGAGCUUUUGAGCUUGAGCCAAUCCUUUUUCCUUAGCAUUUUGAGGGUUCCACUUUCACAUCCAUGCCAUGCCAAUCAUUGAGCUUUUCUGAAAUAAUCAUCUUGGAAUAGCAUUAGCUCAAUGAGCUAUAUGUUGUUAUGAAUUACCAAAACCACCUAGGGAUAGUUGCACUUUCAGCCGUCCAGAAGAGGAAAGCUAUUGGCGAGGAGGUGGCUCGGCUCUUAGCAGCAGAGUUCAUCCGAGAGAUUUACCACUCCGAGUGGCUCGCCAAUGUUGUCAUGGUCCCCAAAAAGGACAAGUCACUUCGCAUGUGCAUUGACUUUAAACACAUCAAUCGGGCCUGGCCUGAAAGAUCAUUUCCCUCUCCCCCGCAUCGACCAGGUAGUGUACUCGACCGCGGGGUGUGAGCGUUUGUCUUUUCUAGAUGCUUAUUCAGGGUACCAUCAGAUCCGUCUGUAUGGACCCGACGAGAUCAAAACGGCUUUCAUCACCCCAUUUGGGUGCUUCUGUUAUGUCACCAUGCCCUUCGGCCUCAAGAAUGCUGGAGCCACGUUCAUGAGGAUGAUUCAGAAGUGUUUACUCACUCAGAUCAGUCGGAACGUAGAAGCAUACAUGGAUGAUAUUGUGGUUAAGUCACAGAAAGGUUCCUACCUACUGACUGACCUUGCCGAAACCUUUGCUAACCUCAGGGGAUACGAUAUCAAGCUCAAUCCAUCAAAGUGCACAUUCGGAGUUCCAGGUGGAAAGCUACUCGGUUUUCUCGUUUCCGAACGAGGAAUCGACGCCAAUCCCGAGGAAGUGGGCACCAUACUCCGGAUGAAGCGCCCUGUGCGUGUACACGAUGUCCAGAAACUUGCAGGUUGCUUGGCCGCUCUAAGUCGAUUUAUUUCUUGUCUCGGUGAAAAGGCGUUGCCUCUUUACCGACUGAUGAAGAAGUCCGACAAGUUCGAGUGGACUCCAGAAGCUGACGCAGCAUUUGCAGAGCUCAAAGCUCUGCUCUCCACCCAGCCGGUGCUUGCUGCCCCAAUCAGUAAAGAGCCUCUGCUGCUGUACAUUGCGGCCACGGGACAAGUUGUCAGUACAGUACUCACGGUCGAGCGGGAAGAAGAAGGAAAGGCCUUCAGAGUUCAACGCCCAGUAUAUUAUGUGUCUGAAGUUUUGACCCCUUCGAAGCAAAGAUAUCCCCAUUACCAGAAGCUUGUAUAUGGGAUCUACAUGACCACGAAGAAGGUUGCACACUACUUCUCUGACCAUUCCAUUACAGUCGUCAGCGACGCUCCACUGUCAAAGAUCUUGCACAACAGAGAUGCAACUGGUCGAGUGGCUAAGUGGGCGAUUGAACUCCUCCCCCUAGAUAUCAAGUUUGAAGCAAAGAAGGCUAUCAAGUCCCAAGCAAUUGCAGAUUUCGUCGCCGAGUGGAUUGAACAGCAGCUUCCGACUCAAGUUCACUCAGAGCACUGGACCAUGUUCUUCGAUGGAUCUAAGAUGCUGAAUGGUUCCGGCGCUGGGGUAGUAUUGGUCUCCCCCCGAGGAGAUAAGCUCAGAUAUGUUCUCCAGAUCCACUUCGAUUCCUCCAAUAAUGAAGCAGAAUAUGAAGCACUCUUAUAUGGGUUGCGCAUGGCCAUUUCACUCGGCGUCCGGCGCCUCAUGGUCUACGGCGACUCAGAUUUGGUGGUUAAUCAGGUGAUGAAGGAGUGGGACAUCAGAAGCCCAGCUAUGACUGGCUACUGCAACGCACUAAGAAAGCUAGAAAAGAAAUUCGAGGAGUUAGAGCUUCAUCACAUCCCCCGACUGAAAAAUCAAGCAGCUGAUGAUCUGGCAAAGAUAGGCUCCAAGAGAGAAGCCAUUCCCAGAAAUGUGUUUUUGGAGCACAUCCGCUCGCCGUCAGUCUAGGAGGAUCCUUUCACAGAAGAAUCCCCACAACCGAAAAGUGCCACAGAUCCAACUGAAGUCGAAGUUCCUGCUGUGGUCGACCUAAUCAUGAAAGUCUUGGCAAUCACUCCCGACUGGACGAUACCAUACAUCGCGUAUAUCUUAAGGAAAGAACUCCCGGAGGACGAGGAAGAGGCUCGACAGAUCGUCCGCCGAUCCAGGGCCUUCACAGUCAUAAAGGGAUAGUUGUAUAGGGAAAGCGCGACUGGAAUCGGUCAGAAAUGCAUAACACCAGAAGAGGGUCAGAUGAUCCUUAAUGAUAUCCACUCGGGGACCUGUGGUCACCAUGCGUCCUCUCGGACCAUUGUGGCUAAAGCAUACCGAGCAGGAUUUUACUGGCCAAGAGCAAAUGAGAUGGCAAAAGAGAUAGUCGACAAGUGUGGAGGGUGCCAGUUCUACUCCAACAUGUCACACAAGCCUGCAUCAGCCCUGAAGACCAUUCCACUCGUCUGGCCCUUUGCUGUCAGGGACUAGAUAUGGUUGGCCCGCUUAGAACAGGGAGAAGUGGUUUCACUCAUGUGCUUGUGGCAGUCGACAAGUUUACCAAAUGGAUUGAAGCUAAGCCUAUCAAGAAUCUUGAUGCUUGCACUGCUAUCAGUUUCGUCAGAGGGCUAACAUUCAGAUAUGGAGUCCCGCAUAGCAUCAUCACUGACAAUGGGUCAAACUUCGAUUCGGACAAGUUCAGAGCUUUUUGCGCCUCUCAAGGCACUCGAGUCGACUACGCAUUGAUCGCCCAUCCCCAGUCGAAUGGACAAGCUGAAAGAGCAAAUGGUCUGAUUCUCAAAGGAUUGAAGCCUCGAUUGAUGCGUGAUCUCAAGCACGCAGCAGGUGCUUGGGUCGACGAACUUCCGUCGGUUUUGUGGGGGCUGAGGACCACCCCGAACCGAUCGACCGGAAGAACGCCAUUUUUUCUGGUUUACGGAGCCGAAGCCGUCCUGCCGAGUGAUCUACUUCACAACGCCCCCAGAGUCGAGCUUUAUAACAAAGACGAAGCAGAGCAAGCCCGGCAAGACGCAGUCGACCUCCUAGAGGAGGAGAGGGAAAUGGCUAUGAUCAGAUCGACCAUCUAUCAGCAAGACUUGCGCCGAUUCCAUGCCAGAAAUGUGAAGAGCCGAGCCUUCCAGGAAGGAGAUUUGGUCCUCCGAGUGGAUCAACAGAAACCACACAAACUUGCUCCUACUUGGGAAGGUCCCUUCAUCGUCACCAGAGUCCUCCACAAUGGAGCAUAUCACCUCUACAAUGUUGAUCGCCAGAUCGAUGAGCCACGAGCUUGGAAUGCGGAACUACUCCGCCCCUUUUACACUUGAGUUCUCCCUUGGAUGGGAUGUAAUAAGAUUUUUUUUCCCGCAGUUCAUUUUUAUCAAAGACAAGAGUGUUACAAUAAUUGCUGUCACUUUUGUUUGCGUGCGAAAUCCCUCAGUGGGUGACUUAGCUGCGAAUCCGUUUCGCCUAAGUUUGAAAAAUCCUACCGAGUGGAGAGCCAGACUCCCACUCGGGGGCUUAGCUGCAGCCCAGUGCUUGCCUAAGUGUUUAAAAUCCUACUGAGUGGAGAGCCAGACUCUCACUCGGGGGCUUAGCUGCAGCCCAGUGCUUGCCUAAGUGUUUAAAAUCCUAUCGAGUGGAGAGCAAACCUCCCACUCGGGGGCUUAGCUGCAGUCCAGCACUCGCCUAAGUUCUCCCGCUAAGAGACUUAGCUGCAGUCGGACACUCGCCUAAGUUUGAAAAAAUCCUACCGAGUGGAGAGCGAUCCUCCCACUCGGGGGCUUAGCUGCAGUCCAGCACUCGCCUAAGUUCUCUCACUUAGAGACUNNNNNNNNNNNNNNNNNNNNNNNNNNNNNNNNNNNNNNNNNNNNNNNNNNNNNNNNNNNNNNNNNNNNNNNNNNNNNNNNNNNNNNNNNNNNNNNNNNNNNNNNNNNNNNNNNNNNNNNNNNNNNNNNNNNNNNNNNNNNNNNNNNNNNNNNNNNNNNNNNNNNNNNNNNNNNNNNNNNNNNNNNNNNNNNNNNNNNNNNNNNNNNNNNNNNNNNNNNNNNCCUAAGUUUGAAAAAAUCCUACCGAGUGAAGAGCAAACCUCCCACUCGGAGGCUUAGCUGCAGCCCAGUGCUCGCCUAAGUGUUUAAAAAUCCUACUGAGGGGAGAGCGAUCCUCCCACUCGGGGGCUUAGCUACAGUCCAGCACUCACCUAAGUUCUCUCACUUAGAGACUUAGCUGCAGUCCGGCACUCGCCUAAGUUUGAAAAAAUCCUACCGAGUGGAGAGCGAUCCUCCCACUCGGAGGCUUAGCUGCAGUCCAGCACUCGCCUAAGUCCUCUUACUUAGAGACUUAGCUGCAGUCCGGCGCUCACCUAAGUUUGAAAAAAUCCNNNNNNNNNNNNNNNNNNNNNNNNNNNNNNNNNNGGAGAGCGAUCCUCCCACUCGGAGGCUUAGCUGCAGUCCAGCACUCGCCUAAGUUCUCUCACUUAGAGACCUAGCUGCAGUCAGGCACUCGCCUAAGUUUGAAAAAAUCCUACCGAGUGGAGAGCAAUCCUCCCACUCGGGGGCUUAGCUGCAGUCCAGUACUCGCCUAAGUUCUCCCGCUUAGAGACUUAGCUGCAGUCAGGCACUCGCCUAAGUUUGAAAAAAUCCUACUGAGUGGAGAGCAAACCUCCCACUCGGGGGCUUAGCUGUAGCCUAGCGCUCGCCUAAGUGUUUAAAAAUCCUACCGAGUGAGAGCAAACCUCCCACUCGGAGGCUUAGCUGCAGACCAGCGCUUGCCUAAGUACAGGACACAACCCAAUCCGCAAGGACGACGAGGUGCAAAUCGACUGCUACCUUCUCCUUCGGAGCUGCACCACAAAUACAAAAGUUAUUUUGAGUGAAGAUCGAGUUCCACUCGACGGAUCAUCCAUGAAGAUAUUCAACGAUAAAUCCAAUUCAGAUAAGACCUAAAGGUCCCAGACCUCAAGCCAAAGCAAUCGAGCCCUCAGCUCGACGGAGUUUAACGGUUACAAAAUCCACUCGGCAUUCCGAGGCAAAUUUAAAGUGGAGCUCAAAAGUUUUUUACUCCUCGGGUGGAGGACUGGAAGGGGCGACGAACUCGUCCAAGUCGAUCCCUUCUGCAAUACGGGUGGCAGCAGCGAUGAAAGUCUCCAUGAAAUCUUGAAAGUUGUGCUUCCUGGUAUUGGCAACUUGGAUGGCGGCCAACUUCUCUUCUCGCGCCUCCUUGCAAUGGACGCGGACCAGAGACAGAGCCACAUCAGCGCCACACCGAGCAGAAGACUUCUUCCACUCCUGCACUCGGUCAGGGAUUCCGUUAAGUCGAGUCAUCAGAGACUCGAGAUUGUUUUGGAGCGUAGCCUCUGGCCAAAGUGCCGGGUCGAUCCGUGACAUGGCAACCUUCAGUCGAGCCAAGUAGUCCACGACGCCGUCAAUGCGAGAUUCCAGUCGGAGCAGAUUCAUGGCAACUUCAUCUUUCACGGGAGAGUUGAUUGGAUCCAAACCUGUUUCGAUCCGCCCAGUCUCCUCUUCAAAGUUCUGGCAAAGCUCUGCAUACACGAUCCAAGGAUAAGUCAAUUUUCAUAGACUGAGUCGACACAAAAAAAAACCCAGUCGGAACUGAAUGUGCACCUUCAAGCUUGAUGUACAACUUCUUGGCGAGGCUCCUCAAGUAGCUCUCCAGGUCGUCCCUCCUGUGAGCGGUGCCUUCCAUCUUCUCGUUUAGGGUGAGGUUCUCCUUCUUCCAACGUGAACACUCCCUGUUGGCUUCAUUCAGAGCGGUCUUCAGCUUGGUAUUCUCUUCUUCUAAGUGGUCGACAGAAGCCAACUUCUGUACGGCCAGAGCGGUCUUGUCAUCAGCCUCCUUACGUGUAGCAGCCAAGUCCUGAUCCUUCUUCGCCAGAGCUCCGUUCAGUUUUUCUACGAAGAAAUGAUGAUCGAAUCAGAAAUAGCAAAAGGGUACUCAAGCCUAAAAACUAACCAGUCGACAAAGUCGUCUUACCUGCGGCGCCGUCUCUGACCUUCUGCAGCUCUGUUCUGGCCAGCUCUAGAUCAAGGUUCAGUUGAAUCUUCUGCUUCUCCAACUCAGUAUAGCGAGCUACAAGUUCACAGGAUUUCUGUAAAAGCAAAAUCAGUCGACAGACGUCCAAGAUAAGUUGCUUCCGAGUAACUAAGAGACAAUGAUGACGUUUCUAAGACCACAGCCGAAUCAAAAACAUUCGACAGUAGUCUCGGGGACUACACCCAGUGGGUGCACUCAGCGUGCCCCCACUGAUUCGACCAAAAAAAAGAUCUUCGGGGAAAAACCGAGUGAAGAAAUACAGCUACAGCAACACAAUGUAAAGACUACAGUAGACUGCCAGCAGUCCACCGUAGUCUCGGGGACUACACCCAGUGGGUGCACUUAGCGUGCCCCCACUCGUCCAAGAAUUGGCAGACACACCCAGUGGGUGUACAGAUACAGAUACAAAAGAUCUUCGGAAAAGAGACUCUUCAAACAGCAUAUCAUAACAGACCAAGUGUUGAGUCGACUGACCUGGACGUUGCUCUGAAGAGCCGAACUCGCGUCAUAGGCUGCUUGGCUGGCCUCCCGAGCCAUCUUCACUUGCUCCAUCAUGAUCCCCGCCUGGCAUAUAGCCUCCUUUGCAGCAGCCGCUUGGUCCCCAGGGACGGGGUACGCAGCAAAAAGCGAAGGUGGAUCCGCAGUCGACGCCGAAGGCCGCACGCUCGUCAGAGGAAUGGCGAAAGUCACAGAAGCCCGAGUGGUGUCACCACCAUCCCGAGCCAUGGCCUCAGACGCCGGAGCAGGUUGAGGGGUCUUGUCAGCCGUCGACCUCUUGUUCCUCCUCAUUCUCAGCGGUUCAUUGUCGUCGUCAUCCGGGAGGUCGACAACAUGAGGAGGGGCUACAAAGGAAACGUUCAAUCGACCAGGGUUGCAAUAAAUUUUUAGUUGACUCAAAGCGGAACGUCAGUAAUCAUACCAGGGUUGGAGGUAAUAGCAUCCUCCAUCUCUUGGUCGUCGUUCUUGGCGGAGAUCUCAGAAGUAGCAGCACUGCAAGCCUCGAAAGUCAGUCGGUUGGUUCAAUGGAUCGACCAAGAAUCCGUCCACGGUCGACAAAGGAUAACAAGUUUUAUUAUUACCCAGAAAUGGUGGGGACGGCCAUCUUCAUCUUGGGCAGAGCCUUGGGCGGCUUGGACGGCGCUGCGCGCGGGUGCUUGGGAGCCUUUCCAGUCGGCGUAGGAGAAGAGGUCCGAUGGCGUUUCAACGACUGCCCAACAGGAGCAGUCGCACUACCACGCUCCCUCACUGGAUCGUGUGUGAGCUUGGAUCGCCCCUCCGGGCGGGGGGGGGGGGGGUUCAACCUCCUCCUCCUCCUCUUCGCUGGAGUCGACGUCGUCGCCUCCCUCCCCUUCACCGUCGGACUCCCACUCGCCUUGAUCGUCCCCGCUCUCACCUCCGCUUGCCUCCCCUUCCUCAGUUGGCCCCUGUGCCCCAUUGGGCGUCGAGUACAUCUCAGUAGUCGCCUGAAAAACAACAGACAAGAUGAAGGUCAAUCGACCAACUCAAAGAAGACCAAUGAAGAAAAACAAGACCUCAGUCAGGAGCAUAGAGACAUACCUGGUCCACGUCGUACGAGUUGUCGAGUGGAAUUACCCUCCUAGCUCCUCGGGGGUUGUCCUUGUUUCCUGUGAUACUUGACAGCCACCCCUCCAGCAUCUCAUCAGUGACCUCCUCCGGGUGGAUCCGAGUGGUGUCGCCGAGACCCAAGUACAGCCACAUCGGGUGGUCACGAGCCUAGAGCGGUUGGAUGCGCCUCCGGAGGAAGACCUCCAGCAAAUCCAUGCCCGUCACGCCCUCAUGGACAAGCUCAACCACUCGACCGACCAACACUUUGACUUGAGCCCUUUCCUCCGGUGCCACUUUCAGAGAAGCAUGUUUUUCAGCUCGGUCGAGGGAGAAAGGAGGAAGACCAGUCGACUGUCCUGGGGUCGCCUGGUCCUGACAGUAGAACCAGGUCGCCUGCCAGCCACGGACCGACUCCGGGAAAGUAAUGGAUGGAAAACAGCUCUUCCCCCUCGUCUGGAUCGCCAAGCCCCCGCACAACUGGAUCACCUGCGUCCUCUCGUCACUCGACUUGGCCUUCUUGACCGAUUGAGAACGGCAGGUAAAGAUGUGCUUGAAAAGUCCCCAAUGGGGGCGGCAACCCAAGAAAGCCUCACACAUGGAAAUGAAAGCGGCAAGGUAUAAAAUGGAGUUGGGAGUAAAGUGGUGGAGCUGCGCUCUGAAGAAGUUCAAGAAGCUCCGGAAAAAAAGAUGGGGCGGCAGAGAAAACCCUCGGUCGAUGUGGGUGGCUAGGAGCUCCCACUCACCAUCGCGGGGUUGAGGUUCGAUCUCUCUCCCCGGAAGAUGCGCAGCCUCGUGGGGAAUGACUCCCCCCUCGACCAUGUCGUCGAGAUCCUCUUGCCGGAUCACUGACGGCAUCCAAUCGCCCUGGAUCCAGCCCUUGGGCAGAGCGGACCUUGAGGAGGAUCCGCCCCGAGCAGAUCUUUUCCCCUUCCCCUGCGCCGCCGCCUUCUUCACGCGCUCCAGAGCGGAGGUCUUGCCCUUCGUCAUCGUCGCCGGCGAAGUCUCGCACGGGCCUGCUGCGUUGGGGCGAGAACGGAGGUGGCGGAAGGACUUGCGAAGGGAGAGAGGAAGGAGAAAGGAGGAGAAGAGAGAGCGCUGCUUGGAAACCCCGAGCCGGCGAUUUAUAAGGGGCCGCUCCCGAGUGGCUGACUGGUAGGCCCAAACUAUCCAGUCAAAUCCUGCAGCGGAUGCGCGCGCAGUACGUGGCGAAAAAGGCGACGCGGGGAUCGAGGAGCUUCCGCUUUAUCGCUUCCGAUUACUGCGGCCGCUCCCGUCCCGCGCGCUUCCCAAAAUCCGAAAUCCCACGACAUCCGCGGGCUGCAGAACAACUUGUCAAAACGGAAGACCCCGCCCGCGCCGACGCUCGGUAUGUCACAAAUAAAGAAAUUCACUCGACGAAAGGCCUGGAAUGGAUCAAGGCGACUGAAAAAGGUUGGCAACGUCAUCCGUGACGAUUGACCCAAAACGAGGCGCUUACGCAGCCCAAAGAACCAGUCGGAAAGAUCUCCAACUCUUUCCCCACUCUAACCUCGAUCCAUUCGGGGGCUAAUGAUGAAGCCAUGUACCUAGGGUAGGGGCACAGACCUGUCCAAGGAGCCCUACCCUAGGACAUCCCUAGGAGAAGUCACCUUUCAAUCGACUUGAAGGUAUCCCACUCGACGGAUUCAAGACACUCGACCAGAAAGCUAUCACUCGACCAUGAAGCCAACCACUCGACCGCCAGGAGACCUAUAGUCACCCCGCAGGCAAACGGUCAGCUGUUAAGUAGUCUUUAUGGUCAUUAUAGCGCUUUAUUAGGGGCGUUACCAGUAACGCCCAACCUUAAAUGUACCUUAAACCCUGCAUUACUGAGGGCAGGAGGGGGCCGGCGAACUCUAUAUAAGCCACCCCCUCCUCAGUAUGAAGGGUUCGCACCCCUGUUAUUCACACGCCAGUAAUCCAGUCGACCGCCUCCGGGCACCGAGACAUAGGGCUGUUACUUCCUCCGCGAAGGGCCUGAACUCGUACAUCUUGGUGUGUUUACAACUUCCCAAUAGCUGAGAUCUAGCCUCUCCAUACAUACCCCCCUACAUCACUGUCAGAGUUAGAACUACGACACCGCCCACAAGCUUCUUGAUGUCUCCAGCAUCCAUGACGCAUUCCAUGGCGACUACAAGCUGUUCGAUCCAAUGUUGCACCACCACCGGUUGCCACCAUCUGAUCGUGCAAUCAUGGUGUGAGUGAUGUGCAAUCUGACACUUCUAAGCAUCAUGGUGUGGCAUGCAAUCUACCCAUUUGAUUCGGGGUGCUCCAUCUGAUCGUUGCUACUCUCUCUGCACAAAAUUAUUCGAAUUUCUAGUUUUGUCUUAAGUCAGACUUGUUUGAAUUUGAGCAAAAGCCUAUAGAAAAAAAAUGUCAAUAUCUCGAGCCUUAAAGUUGACACUUAUUUUGAUACGGAGGGAGUAUAAUUGAUGUUGUAGAUAUUAACACGUUUAUCUAUGGACUUCUUGAAAUGUAGAGAAUUUUGACAUAGGACAAAAUUGUACAUCAUCAUAUUUGAAAUACAAAAUAUCUGCUCUAUCUACAUGAGCAUUGAUCUGCCAUAGGCCACCCAUUUUGCCUUGUUAUUUCUUUCUCGGAUCAUGGGACCCGAGUGGUGGAAGCUCCUUGUUGCCUUCGAGGUUUUGCCCACCAUCCCUUAUGCAUCGGCCGCUGUUUGAUGGGAGAAGAUGACUAGAGGCAGCGAAAGGAGGGAGAGGGAGGCGCUGAACAAUGUGGCAUAGGUUGAUGGUGAGGACAAUGAAGAGAAAGCGAGCAAUGUGAAGAGGAGGGUGACGAGGGGAGAAAACGAGAAGCUCCAUGUCAUUGCUCUCAAGAUGUGCUUGUCUAUGAAUUUCCGAGCUAUGUAUUAAAUUUGACAUGCAAUUCCACUAUGACUGAAAUAUGCAGGUAUUUGGUUAUUGUAAAUUUUAGUUGUGUUGUACAUAUCUUUAUUUUAGUAGUUCUGAUUAAGCUAUAUUAUUAGCGCCCCAUAAUCUUUAUCUACCUGCGUAUCUGUUAGAAUUGAAAUUGAUUUAUAAAAUAUCACAUCUCCAAUGUAAGUUAUUCAUAAUAUGGAAUUCCAUUGUUUAGAAUUUGAACCUUGUGUUCACAAAUAAAAU
rnacentral:lncRNA from 1 species